rnacentral:rRNA from 1 species
GACGUAGGGCGCGAGCGUUGUCCGGAUUUAUUGGGCGUAAAGAGCUCGUAGGCGGCUUGUCGCGUCGACCGUGAAAACUUGGGGCUCAACCCCAAGCCUGCGGUCGAUACGGGCAGGCUCGAGUUCGGUAGGGGAGACUGGAAUUCCUGGUGUAGCGGUGAAAUGCGCAGAUAUCGUCAGGAACGCCAGUGGUGAAGACGGGUAACUGGGCCGGUUCUGACACUGAGGCACGAAAGCGUGGGGAGCGAACGGG